rnacentral:lncRNA from 1 species
CUCAUCAGCCGGACCCAGACUGGUCCCUGUGAGAUGCAUGGCAGGAGCAUUCUUUCUCAGAGCUGAUUGCAGUUCUUCUGUGUGCAUGGGAGCAGCCUUGGAAGCAGCCUGGUUUCCUGAAAGUACAUAACUUUUAUUGAAAAAUAGGAUUUUCCCCUCCGAUUUAUUUUCCUUGUCGUGAAAGCGUCACGGUCACUUCUGUUGAGCCAAAUGAAACCCAGUUUUAGUCUGUGUCCUUAGGAGUGUUUGAAAUACCAUGGAGAAAGUCUGCAGGUUGGUUUUGAAGCCAUCCAAAGGGUAAAAGUGCUGGAUUGGUUUGUAUCUCAAACCUCUCUCACCCCACUUGUCUGCAUGGAGCUCCACAGUACCUACCUCCAAGGAGGGGAAUAUUUGACACGUGGGCCUGUUUGUGUUGAACUCAAGACUGUUUUUACUCAGUGCAGGGAAAUGUCAUUGGGCUCCUUUUGGUGUCACUUUGCUGUUCCCAAGCAGUUUCCUGGAAAGACAGCAGGAAGCCAAACGUGCAUACAUUUCUGAAGCGCUCGGGUAUUUCCAAGUGAUGCAACCUCAGAUUCCUUCCCUAGCCACCCCCCCUUCCCUUUUGCUUCAAAACCCUUUUUGGCCUCAAAGUUCAGCUUGUCUUUCUGUUGUUUUGUUUCCGAGUUCUGGAGGCAGAGCCCUACAGCAGGAGGAGGUGGGCAGCCCGCAGCCAGGUGCAGGGGGGGCUGGGGGGGAAGCUGCUCCUUUGGGGAACCCUUGCUCCGGCUUAUAGGGCCAUCUGGGACUGUGGGACCGACUGUGUGAUCCUCCCACGGUCUGGACCCAUCAGCAGCCCUGAAACCAGCUGGCAGGGAUGUCAAACAUGACUUGCCCCUGCAGACAAAGUCAUGCUCAACAUCUCUGUAAUUAAUCUGGAUCCCGGAGGUCGCGGUUCGAACACAGCCAAAUUGUCCUGGGGAAGCAACACCCUCUGGAUCUGGUGUUUCUCACAGGUACUGCAUGGGACUGGGAAGCAGCUGAGCACCGACUCAGUGCUGGGGCUCCUGGUGAUGCUCGCUGUGAGAUGGUGGCAGCACAGCUGUGAUCUCACAUGGGGAUCUGCCUUCAUACUGCCCACCUCCCCGUACAGCUCAGUCUUAGGAAGGCAAAAUGGAGUAAAAACUCAUCUGUUGGUCGGAAAAGGCUCUGCACAGUGGUUUACUCUGGUGGGACAUGGACGUGGGAUGGCAACCUCAGAGAUGGAAAGGAGAGAUUAUUUUCCUUUCCUAUUUAUAAGUCCACAAAGACUUAUAAAGAAAAAUCCUGCCUUCCUGUAUAGGACAAAGCCUUCUGAAAUAACCUGCCAGAAAUUUCCAGCAAUGCUCAGGCUUUCUGAGCCCUGUUCUGGAAGGACGAUGGUGCUGCCAGCCUUUGUGUGGGCUCAGGGGUCCCAAGUUCCAGCUCCUCGACUUGAUGUGGGACUGAUGAAUUGCUCACCCUGCCUUCAGAAACCAUCCAUGUGGGGCAGACCUGCAUGUCCUGAGGUCCUGCAGUUCCCCAUGACAGCUCUUGUUUUCAUAUCGACCAAACAAUGCAGCCAGGACCGUGAGUGUCCUGUCCUGUUUUCCCCACUGGCUCUGCCCCAUAGGUGAGCUGUGGGAGAGGAGAGGACCAGCAGCCCAGUGCCGAGGUCGGGAUGUGCAACAAGCCAAGCAGCUCUUGUUUUGCAGCUCUGUACGCGGCAGCGUGGCUAAAUGUGGAGGCAGGUUUGAAGGCACGCUCAUUUAACUCCCCAGCCAACGUCUGAUUCCAGGCAUGCCUCUUUCACAGAGUUUAGUUGCACAUUUGCAGAGCAACAGUUCUGCAAGUGGAACUCUGCAGGCAGCCUGGUGGGGCCAAUGCUGACUGCUGCUGUUGGGUGCUCAUGAGUGAGAGAACAGGAGAUGGAGUCAGGGAACGUCUGAGACCAAUAUUGGGAUGAAGUAGGAGGAGAGGGAGGUUUUAAAGUCUUGGUCAAGCUGUUUCCUGUGCUGGUUUUGGAUUUCUCUUGUAGCUUGGCUGUGUCCUGUUGCAAGGAAUACAGCUCCCAUUGACUCCAGCAGGACCAGAGCUGGACCAGAGGGGCCUUUGGUGCAAGAGAGGCUGCAAGAAAGGAUUCGGCUUUAUCUGUCGGUGAGCCUGUUCAUUCUCUCACCUGUUGAUGGGUCAAAUUUUGAAGCUGUGACUCAGUCUGAACUUUCAGUGGCUUUUGCACCUGGUGAUUUAAAUAUCUGUCUGCACGGGAGGUGAACGCCAAGCGGCAUCCCUAGCUGCAGCUCCGUACCAGGUUACCUUCCCCUUUCCCCCCUCCAGCUGUUUACUAUUUCCCUCCCACCUCCACCCUGACUCAGAAGAAUGGGACACGAAUCCUCCCACCUCACCCACUCCAGUACAAUGCUUGGCAGCUGCUGGGGAAAAAGAGUUUGGGUGAAGCUGCCAGGCUUUGCCCAGGAGCCAUGGGGGAGAGCACGAGAGCUGUUCCACCAACGCAGCUGCCGGCAGCAGGAGCCUCCGGCACGAGGGAGCAGACGAGCCAGCUGCUGGGGGUGCUGAUAACAUCUGGACCCACCCGACGAGAGCGCAUCUCCCCGUGCUGUAAGUGCAGGGUUGGGACCUUUCGGUGCUGAGCCGCCUCUGCUCCCACCAGGUUCAGCAGGAGGUCAGGGCGCGCAGCAGUGGGGUCGUGUGAGCUGUGGGUGCUGGGGCUGAGCCUGAGGCAGCGCUGGGACUGCUGCCUGCUGGGCUGGGUGAGUCCUUUGCGGGUGGCUCCUACCAAGUUUGCAGAUAGAAGCAGUGUGAAGGCUGUUCCAGGGUGAGAGAAAGACCUCUGGAACCAGCUGCAAUGCUAUUCCUGGGGUAGGGGUAAGGGAGCGGCUGAAAAGCCCCAAAGUGGCCUUUAAAAAGGCAUAGCUGUAAGAGCACAGGAGUCCCAAGGGAGCUGGAGCUGGUGGAGGCUGCAAUCAAAGCACCCCCACUGCCCCGUGCUGUCACCCUGCUGCAGCCACAGCACAGCGCCAGCUUGCUCUUCCCUCCUUCCCAUCUCUCCUUCUUCCUCCCGUGGCCCCUCACGUCCUCCCUGCCUCAAUCCAGCUUUAAAAUCUCAAGGCAAAUCCCACUAAAUCGGGAGAUUUCACCCGGCUGCUUCCCUGCCCUCUCUGCUCUCCCGCUCCCUCCGCCGUUUCUGGCCUGCUGGGUUUUGUGUUUCAGUUGUUAUAAAUAAAGCUCCAGGCACUGAUUUGGGUAUACAAUGACACCUUGUGUUAUUAGACAGCACAGGACAGACUUUGCAAGGGGAGCUGCUCUCCCGCCCUCGCUCUGCUCCGGCUGCCGGCGCUCGGCAGGAGCUCAGCAGGUGCUGCUGUUCCCCACCUCACCCCAAAUCGCAGCCCCCAGGAAAAAAUAAAUAAAAAAAAAGAGGAGAUUUGGGCCCCUGCUCCGGCUUGGCUGGGUUUAAAAAUAGGUGGGUGGGAGGAAGCUGGAUGCUUAAAGAAGGGAGCGUGACUGAGGAUGAUGGGGAAGGGGAUAGGAAUGUAGGAAUGUGCCCCCGAAAAAGGAGCUGGGGAAUGUUUCUGGGGGGAAAGCAGGGAUGGGAUUGUCACUUGUCCCCUCAGCCCUGCUAUGGGGUGACCACCCUACCCCUCCGUGCUGUGCAUAGAAGAGGUGGAGUCUGAGCAUCCUUUCUCCUCACGCUCAUCCCUGCACUGCGCCGUGGUCCCUCGGGAAGGGCUUUGUCCCACAUGGGCCACCUCGUGUCACCUCUCCAUCCCCUCAGGACCAGCACUGGUUGGAGGGGGGGGAAGCUGACAUGCUGAGCCCCAUGUGCCCAUUUUUGGGUUCUCCCUCCGCAUUUUCUCUCCUUAUGCCAGAAAAGCAAAUGCUGUGAAUUUUGGCUUGAGCAUUCAGUGCAGAUGUCCCACAGCUCCAACAUACACUCGCUCCGCUCGUCCCACUUGCCUCACUGCAGCUACCACAGGACAGCCCCCCUCGAGGGGCCCAAGGGAGCUGCAAUGCUGAGCUGUGGUGAUGGGACCCUCCAGGAGCUCCUUCUGCAUUUUGCUGCUCAUCUGCACUCUGUGGGGAACCAGGAGGGGUGCUGGGUGCCCAGGUUGGGGAGUCUUUGAGGCAGCGAUUUAAAGAAAGAUAAAUAAAAACCCAGCCCGUGGUGCUGGGAAGCCGGCCUCUUUCAUCAAGGAUGACUUGAUUUAUCCAGAUUAGUUUAAUUCUUUUUCAAGUCCUUUUGGAAGUCCUUUCUGAAGGAAUUUUGGAGGUGUUUUUUGGUCAUUGAGUAGGUCUGACUGUUACCAUUUUGCUGACGGUUUGGUGCACUGUUUGAACCAUGGAUGAGAUGUCUCUGAAGAUAUGAAAGACAGAGAAUGCCUUCUUUUGGGUUGGCUUUUGGCUUGUUCUAGUUUUUGCUUCCCCCUCUGCUGUCUGUGGGUUGGGUGAAGCUCAGCAGGCACUGUGGGGAGGGGUUGGGGUUGGACUUGGUCAUCUUGGAGGUCUCUUCCGACCGUAAUGAAUGAUGCUAUGAUUCCAUGCAGCUGGCACCAGGAGGCUGUUCCUGGCAGUGAGUGAUGCUUCUGCUCUUCUUCCCUCUCCUCCCCAACUACUGCAAAAGAAAGCGAACUCAUUUAUAGCAUCUGGGGUCGGGGUUUGGUAGUCUCGUGUUGACUCGCUUUGUAGAGGUGCAGACCUCAGGAGGAGGAACUAAACACCCUCUUUUUGUGCUCUGUGGUGCAUGUGUUACUUUAGAAGGUAAAUAACCAAACUAUCCAAUAAAAUACCAAUGUUCUGCACAUUAAUAAAGUAAUGGAGAUAUUUAAUGUAUGCAGUAAAGCUGCUAUUGCAGAGCCCUAGGCCUGCUUUAGUAGCUAUAACAGGAGUGAAUAAGAUCUUUUCCUGCUUUUAUUUAUACACAUAUAAUAUCAAAUAUUACUGAGUUUUUGCUUGUUAAUGUUAGCCAAAGGGGUUAAGAGAAAUAAAAAGGGAUUUGGCAAACAUAUCAGGGGAGAAAGAGCCAGAGUAGGCCCAUUAAUAAAUGAGGGAGCUGAAUUCAGCAAUGAUAUUGAAGUGACGAAGUUACUGAGCUGCUUUUAAAAUCAGUCUCUGGUAAAAUCAGUGGAGACAAUUAGGAGACCUUGUCAGAUACAAUUAGGGGCUCCGAAAUAGACAAGCAGCCCAUGAGGGAACAGCAAGGCCAUGGGGAACAGCAGAGCAGGGCUGGAGCAGAGGGGGAAAUUCGCAAUGACACCAUUGGUCUGACUGGGACUGGGCACAGAGGAGACCCCAAUGGGACCUGGCAGCAACGGGGGUGAGAAAGAGGAUAACAGUAGGUUGGUUCGAGUCAUUUCCAUCUGUCCUCGUGGUGAGAGUGUCUUGUGAAGGGCCGGGGAUGGCCCUGGGGGAGUGUGGUCCUUAUCGCAGGGAGAGCUGGAAAGGAAAGCUACAGGUGGGCAGGGGGAGGCUGAGGGUUGGGGAGCACCCACUGUGUGCCACCCUCCGAGGUGUGAUUUUGCUCCCUUUAGCUCCUGUGGCUGUUCCAGCCCUCUCUGUAUGCUGGUGGAUGUGUUCAUUCGUUUCAGAAAGGCAGAGGCCGAAAAUAACUGAGGAGGAAAGACAUGCAGAGAAAGCCUGGGAAGGUUGGCUGUGAGAGGGUAGGAAUAGCCAUGUGACAUGGAAAAUGGAGAUCCAGGGGGAUCCUACAGCUGAAGAGCUGGGAGCCUUGGGAGAAAUGGCCCCAUGUGCCUGGGAUAUGCCCUGGCCAAAAUGGUAUUGGUGGGGACCCAGCUCUGGAGCCAGCUCCGGUUGCAGAGAAGCUAAAACCUUCUGUUGUGCAUGCCUUGUGUAAAAGCCUUUUGAUAUUUUGGGGGCAACAGAUGCUGAGGCCACGUGUCAGGCAGCCCUGGAGACACUCCCCUUGUUCUUUCUCUCCUGCUUGUGCUCGCAGCGCUGUUUCCCAGUGCCCAAGCCUGGGCACUGCAAUGACAUUCAAGUGUAAACCCACUGGGAAGGGAUUUGGAGAAAAGCACCACAAUGACACAGAGCCUGAGGGAUGAGCGUGGGAGGAGAGGUUAAAAGAGUGACAGCGAUGGGUUCUGCUGCUGCUUGCAGGGCUGCCUGGGAUGGGAGCGAACCCCUGGGUGCUGCCCCCCUUAUCUGGCCACUGUUCCCGGGUGAGUGGAAGAAGGCUUGGGGGGUACCCAGCCUUUAGAAAUCAAGCUGAGGUGGGAACAGUGUGAUCGAAUCGCACAAAGGAAAAUGGAGGCUGUACGGUGGUUGGGGAAAAAAAAAAAAAAAACAACAACCACAAACGAGCCAGCAGCAAGAAAGCAACGUGCAAACAGAACGCUGGCAGUGCCAGGUCUGAAUCGUUUAAAACGUGAUUAUGCAAAGCUCUGAGAUUUAAAGAUGUUUUGCAGGAACGUGGUGAAGGCUCACACCAGCCUCUGCUCAUCGCCUGCCCUGAAUCCCUUUGGUGAAACUCGUUGGCAUCGGAGGAACUGGGUCUGGAGGAGCUCAGCCCUGCUGGUGUCGGUGUGGGGCUCGGAGGUGCGGUGGGUGGCAGAGCUCCCCAGGAGCCCCCCAGCCCCUCCUCAGCAGGAGGCAGGUCCGUUUGUUCAUCUAUCUAUUUGUUUUUGUGCAGAAGGCUGGGCAUUGGGGAGCUGAGCUCGAUUCCGAGCGUGUGGGCUGUUAAAUAAAUAGCUUCGUCUGCGUUCAUCAGCUCUUCUGACUGAUGAAGAUGGGGAUGGGUGCGUUCUCUGUAUUCCUCUGGCCCCAUUCAGAGCCCAUGGAAGCCGCGGGGAUGUCUCACGCUCCCUGAUGGUGUGUGGGAAGGGCUUUUAGGUUAUGGGCUGUGGGAGGGGAAAACUGGAAUGGAGGAGCCCAGACCUAAAGCCACCUGUUGGAAAUGUUUGAGGGCUUCUGGGUAGGCAUCUUCCAGCGCUGUGCGCUGUCUUUGUGCACAGUGUCAGAAGAGACUGUAACCUGGAGGUCCCUACAGGUCUAACAAGAGAAGCAAUCCCGUAGUUGCAGCCAUGAGACACAAUGGGGACUUCCCAUGUGGCGGGGCUGCGGCCGGCACGGGGCUGAGCACACGGCGGUGUUGGUGAUGUUGGGUGCAUCAGACCCAGUUUUGCUGUCUUUCACUUUUUGCAGCCGCCUCUCAAACCUUCCCUCGGCUUUACCCACCCCUACUCCUCCUUUUUUACACUUUCUCUGUAGCUGUUUAUCUCAUGCAUUUUAUUAUGUGGCUUCCUUGCAUCCAGGCUUCCUUUCUCUGCUCUGCGCACUGUCCAAUCCCAAGGCUGUUCCUGUGGGUCAGCAUUGCCCAUGAUGGGUUUGGUCUCCAUGCCGUGGUCCAACAGCCAGCCUACUCCGAGCGUGCUGCUGCUGGAGCUGUGUCUUUUUUUCUCCAUCAUGUGAGUAAAGUUUCUGCGAGUCUGUUCUGGCUUAAAUGUGAAAUAUGCAUUUGAGAGAGAGAGAGAGGCAUGCAGACCUCACCCCUCAAAGCCCAACCCAUCUCCACUCCAGUGACUCUUUCCAAAAAGAAAGGGAAAUGAGAAGAACCCGAUCCCUGUUUCUCCCAGUCUCUUGAUUUACAGCCACCCUCUUGGGCUUCUCUUUGGUGGGGGACAGGCAGAUGGGGCAAAACUCCUGCAGGACACCCCAAAGCCACCAGAGCGGCUCAUGGAGAAGGGCAGCAUGAUGUUACCAAUGGCGCCACAUGUGCUAAUUCUCACGUGUGCCCAUUUUAGGGGCUGGAACAUCAGAACCUCGUGUGCACAUGGCUGACCUCUGCUGUGCCCACCGUCCUCUCUCUGGGUGGCAAACAGACCCUGGACUUGCAGCCAGGAGCGUGUGGCUGGGUUUGGCCAGAUUUGUCCCCUCUUCUCUCCGCUGGAUGUGUGUGUGCUGGUGAAGUCCCAGAAAGAAAGUGCCCAGCUCCCCUGCAUUGAGCAAGCAUGUGCGUGCAUGCAGCUCCACGUCUCCCUUGAGUUGUCCAUUUAAACACCCUCGCUGCCAAAGGAGACAAAGUCCCCCAGUUGCCCUAAAGGCCCUGCCACCCACUGUCCCCCUGUGUGGGGACAAUGUCCCACUGGGAGCCCCGUGGCACUGCUGGCUGCAGCCCGGCUCAGGCAGGAGCUCGCUGGUGAGCUGGGGAAAAAAGAGGCUGUAGCAGAGAUGGAACAAACAGAAUUUUUUUUUGCAUCUAGAGGGGGAAGCACAGAGCUAAAAAUAAAACGGGAAGAUCAGUAUCUGUCAGGCUGACGGCGGAUUGGCUCUUUGGAAAUGCAUGUAAUUACCAGGCUGUAGGUAGACAUUUGCAUGGAGCGAAUAGCAAGCUACCGAGACAAGGUUACGCUUUAACCUUUAAGUCCCGAAUCUGCUGGAAAACUAAGACAGAACUGCAGGAAAUUAACUUAAAUUAAUAGAAUGGCUGUGAGUGUGCCACACGUUACUUUGAUGCGUGUCACUUCGCGGCACAGAGUGCCUGGCUGCCCCCGUGCCCCAGCUCCUGCUGGAGGGAGAUGCUUCGGAUGCAAGUUUGUCAGGCAUGGAUCUCCUCCCUCGUUUGGGGAUUCAGCUCUACUGUAGCUCUUCGUGGUCCACGUGCCUUUCUGUUGGCAGUCUGCAAAGCAGCUGGGGAGAUUUGGGCAAAGGGAGCUGUGCUGGUGGAUGCUGCAGGGCUGGGGGGUGGAGAAAUCCAGCUGUGCUGAUCCACAGCUCCUGGCUGGGAGAGCCGGGACGUGGUCACGGGGAUGGAUGUCUUGGUGAGCACCUUGAGGCUGAGUUCUGUGCAGGAUUCUGCAGGCAGUAAUCAGUACUGAUUAGACCACAAAUGGUCUCUUUGCCAUAUGUGUUUGUGGACAUGCAGUGCCUAAGACUGGAGGUCCAGUGACAAACACACAGAUAAAUGAAAAAUAUGCCACUGUAUUUCCACCCUGGGCUCCCACCAAGGCUACCCAUGCUCUCAACCCUCCUAAUGCCUUCUUACCCCCAGGAGACAUAGCUCCUGCUGCUGUCCAUCAUCCCCAAGCCAAGCAGCACUGCAGGGCACUGAGGAUGAGCAAUGGAAUGAGGAGCAGAUACUGUGUGCAUCCCAGUCUUGUGUGCCUCUUUGCUAGCUGCAAAGACCAGGCAACACCUGUUUCCAAAAAAAGCCGCCUUAUCCCUUCCAACCCGGGAACGAUUGUUGCUGUAUCGAUUCUGUUGCUUGAUUCAAGCUGGCUGCAUUGCUGUGACUCAGAGCAGAAGCUGAGAGUAGCAGUGUGGUGGUGGAGCAGCUGGUGCAGAGCAGGACCGCGUGCUGCCCCAGAGGGCCGGGCCAUCGGGAGCUCCAGCUGCUCCACUGGCUCCCCAUCAGCUCCCAAAGCCAAGGCUCUGGCCCUAAUCUUCAAAGCAACUCAUGGAGGAAGUGCCAAAGGUAUCAGAAGGCUGAGUACUGUUCUGCGAGCAGCACAGACUGCUCCUCUGCAACAAUCCAGAGCACCGAGGCUGGG